AUUGAACGCUUGCGGCAUGCCUUACACAUGCAAGUCGAACGGUAACGGGUCCUUCGGGAUGCCGACGAGUGGCGAACGGGUGAGUAAUAUAUCGGAACGUGCCCAGUAGUGGGGGAUAACUGCUCGAAAGAGCAGCUAAUACCGCAUACGACCUGAGGGUGAAAGGGGGGGAUCGCAAGACCUCUCGCUAUUGGAGCGGCCGAUAUCAGAUUAGCUAGUUGGUGGGGUAAAGGCCUACCAAGGCAACGAUCUGUAGUUGGUCUGAGAGGACGACCAGCCACACUGGGACUGAGACACGGCCCAGACUCCUACGGGAGGCAGCAGUGGGGAAUUUUGGACAAUGGGCGCAAGCCUGAUCCAGCAAUGCCGCGUGCAGGAAGAAGGCCUUCGGGUUGUAAACUGCUUUUGUCAGGGAAGAAAUCUUCUGGGCUAAUACCCCGGGAGGAUGACGGUACCUGAAGAAUAAGCACCGGCUAACUACGUGCCAGCAGCCGCGGUAAUACGUAGGGUGCGAGCGUUAAUCGGAAUUACUGGGCGUAAAGCGUGCGCAGGCGGCUUUGCAAGACAGACGUGAAAUCCCCGGGCUCAACCUGGGAACUGCAUUUGUGACUGCAAGGCUAGAGUACGGCAGAGGGGGAUGGAAUUCCGCGUGUAGCAGUGAAAUGCGUAGAUAUGCGGAGGAACACCAAUGGCGAAGGCAAUCCCCUGGGCCUGUACUGACGCUCAUGCACGAAAGCGUGGGGAGCAAACAGGAUUAGAUACCCUGGUAGUCCACGCCCUAAACGAUGUCAACUGGUUGUUGGACGGCUUGCUGUUCAGUAACGAAGCUAACGCGUGAAGUUGACCGCCUGGGGAGUACGGCCGCAAGGUUGAAACUCAAAGGAGUUGACGGGGACCCGCACAAGCGGUGGAUGAUGUGGUUUAAUUCGAUGCAACGCGAAAAACCUUACCUACCCUUGACAUGUCAAGAAUUCUGCAGAGAUGUGGAAGUGCUCGAAAGAGAGCUUGAACACAGGUGCUGCAUGGCCGUCGUCAGCUCGUGUCGUGAGAUGUUGGGUUAAGUCCCGCAACGAGCGCAACCCUUGUCAUUAGUUGCUACGCAAGAGCACUCUAAUGAGACUGCCGGUGACAAACCGGAGGAAGGUGGGGAUGACGUCAGGUCCUCAUGGCCCUUAUGGGUAGGGCUACACACGUCAUACAAUGGCCGGUACAGAGGGCUGCCAACCCGCGAGGGGGAGCCAAUCCCAGAAAACCGGUCGUAGUCCGGAUCGUAGUCUGCAACUCGACUGCGUGAAGUCGGAAUCGCUAGUAAUCGCGGAUCAGCUUGCCGCGGUGAAUACGUUCCCGGGUCU
rnacentral:rRNA from 1 species